UACGUAGGGCGCAAGCGUUGUCCGGAAUUAUUGGGCGUAAAGAGCUCGUAGGCGGUUUGUCGCGUCUGCUGUGAAAGCCCGGGGCUCAACCCCGGGUCUGCAGUGGGUACGGGCAGACUAGAGUGCAGUAGGGGAGACUGGAAUUCCUGGUGUAGCUGUGAAAUGCGCAGAUAUCAGGAGGAACACCGAUGGCGAAGGCAGGUCUCUGGGCUGUUACUGACGCUGAGGAGCGAAAGCAUGGGGAGCGAACAGG
rnacentral:rRNA from 1 species